GAUUACUGAUGGCAAUAAAUUUUACUUUUUACUGUGGAUAGCAAGUCUACGUUAUUUAAUACAUGGAUCAAGAAAUCAGUAAAUUUAUAUGCACGAGAUCCGUUUAGGAUAACAUUGGAGGCAUAUUUCAAACAGCGUACUUCAACAGAAAUACGUCUUAUUGUAAUAGAUGAUACAUCGAUACAAUAUAGGCCAUGUGAAUGUAAGUGUAAAGUAGAAUAGCAUGGAUACAAAACAUGGCGGAAUAAGCUUGGAGUUUACAUACAUUUAAUAUUAUUUCGAUAUAAAAACAAUUGGUUAAGGCAUCCUUCAAAAAUCUUUUCAAUGCUACUGUGACAAGUACCUUGCUCAAUGUUUAUGCAUGUUUAUCUUCGGUUGCAUAUGGUUGGACAAAAAAAACCAAUGUCAACCUUUUUUUUGGAAUUUUGGGUUCUCAAUGCUCUUCAACUGUGUCGUGUUUGUCCUUUUUUGGCUUUAUAACAAUUUUGAUCUAAGCGUCACUGAUCAGUCUUAUGUAGACGAAACGCGCGUCUGGCGUAUUAAAUUAUUAUCCUGGUACCUUUGAUAACUACUAUCAAUAACAUUGUUUAUAACAAUGCAAAUAUCUAUUAUAUUACAAAUGUUCAAUACAAGAAUGAUGACAUACGAGAACCUUGAUUUAUUUCUGUUUUUUUAGAUACAUAUGUCAAAACAAAAAGAAAUAUAUUUUAAUAAGACAGACUGUGACUAUAUAAAUGUCCACGAUGUUAAAAAAGGACGGCGUUUAAUGUUGACUAAUUUUAUGGUAAUUAUUGAAGUUGCAUUUAUUCAUAAAUUACGGUUGACGGACUCAACCAGUGUUUGGUUGACUUUCAUUGAAUACUCAUGUAUCAGAUUACUAUGUACACUCAAUCUUUCAAAUCACUAGUCUAUUAUCGUUCACUUCGUAUUGCGUCAUCGAAUGCGAUUUGUCAUUGGAUGUUUAAAAAACAAACAAAUACCCGUUUACACCGCAAACGUCUGUAUUUGUGCUGACUCAUGUUGAAUUAUUCAAUUUAUUGAGAAUUUGUCGUUCUUGUUUUCGUUUUAAAAUCGAUACAUAUCGUCAUUAUUUUUAUUAUUGGUUAUGUAUCAGUCUUAGAUAACUGAAAUUCACGUAUGUCUUAUUAGCUUGUUAGUAUCGUAGGUGUUCAACAAUUUACUACUAUUAUGUCUACUGCAUGACGCAAUUUCACUUGGUUUGAAUAUCACGUAUAAGAUGAUUAAUUGAGCAACAUGACGGUGACAAUGUCGACCAUGUUUUAGCUGGGUUUGUGCUGCUAUUUUUUUUUCUUUUUCUCUGUAUUAUUUGGUGAUAAACAAAACAGUAGUAGUAACGUAUUUUUUUUUCUUAUUGGCAGUUAUACCACAUCGCUUUUUAUAAUAAAACUGUAUGUGUAAAUUAUUAACUUGUUUGUUAUCUGUCAUUAUAAUGAAUAUUAAGUAGAGUUUUAGGAUCUGUUCUUAGGAAGCUGUUUGAUAUGUUGAUAUGUUUUUGUCUUUAAAAGCAAAGCAUGUUUGGCAACCUUUAUAAUUUAUCUUUACAACUGGCUGUUACAAAAAUACAACAAAAAGAAACAUGAUAACAUUACACAAACGCCUGAAAACCUUUGAAAACUAUAUGUGCCUGAAAAUAUUCAUUGGGCUCAUCUUUUAUGGAUUACCUAUGGGUGUUUCAUAAUUGUUCUAGUGGAUUCUCAAAGUUACUAGUGGAGUGGAGAAAAAUAUGACUUUUGAUUAAACCUUAUUUGCAUAUAUUGUGUUUUCAAUCAAAAAAAUACUUGGAAUUGGAACAGAACAUGAGAGCUUAUCACAUUUGAUUAAAGAAACCUUCACACUCAAAGGUUAUUAUAUUUAAGAUCAAGGUAAUAUAUAAUUCGACCAUUGAAAGGAUUCUGAUCUAUGCACUUCAUUUUGUAUUUGAACCAAUAUGAGAUAUUCAAUGUACGCAACAAGAUAAUCCAUAAAAAUAUGAUAAACUUGAAAUUAACUAUAUUAUACAUACAUCUAUACCUUAUAUACAUUCAAUUCAUCAAAUCGAAUUGCACUAUAUCCUACUUUAUCUGAGCUUGCUUUACUUUAACCCGUAUUUUGCGCAUACGCAAUUCUUGAUCCAUAAUGUCCUUUGCAAGAUUAUUUACAUUUUUUUCUGCAUUUCUGACAAUUCCCAAACAACCACUCUUGAGAAAAUGUUAACAGAAUCCAGCAUGAUGUUUAAAGGUAGUUAUACAUGUUUGUUUUCCUUUUCCUCGAAUGUGACCUACCGGGCACAUAUAAGGUUUGUAUUGAGACGAGAAACACAAUAGUUGACGUAUGUUGAGCAGAAUUUGCAUUGUGCCUUCCGGAGAUCAAUCGCGGCUUAGCUUUUAUUUUGCAAUGUAAAUAUUGUUACUAAUGUUACUAAUUUUGUAGUUUUUAUUCUUGUCCAUUUCAAGAUAUUAAAAAUUUCUUUUCUGCAUUUUAGACAAUUUCCAGACGCCGCCCUGUGUGGAAAUAGCAGCAGAAUCCAACACCACAUUAGGGG
rnacentral:lncRNA from 1 species